rnacentral:rRNA from 1 species
GUGGGGAAUAUUGGACAAUGGGGGGAACCCUGAUCCAGCCAUGCCGCGUGUGUGAAGAAGGCCUUUUGGUUGUAAAGCACUUUAAGCGAGGAGGAGGCUCUUCUAGUUAAUACCUAGGAUGAGUGGACGUUACUCGCAGAAUAAGCACCGGCUAACUCUGUGCCAGCAGCCGCGGUAAUACAGAGGGUGCGAGCGUUAAUCGGAUUUACUGGGCGUAAAGCGUACGUAGGCGGCUUUUUAAGUCGGAUGUGAAAUCCCUGAGCUUAACUUAGGAAUUGCAUUCGAUACUGGGAAGCUAGAGUAUGGGAGAGGAUGGUAGAAUUCCAGGUGUAGCGGUGAAAUGCGUAGAGAUCUGGAGGAAUACCGAUGGCGAAGGCAGCCAUCUGGCCUAAUACUGACGCUGAGGUACGAAAGCAUGGGGAGCAAACAGGAUUAGAAACCCUAGUAGUCCC